UACGUAGGGUGCAAGCGUUAAUCGGAAUUACUGGGCGUAAAGCGUGCGCAGGCGGUUCGUUGUGUCGGCGGUGAAAGCCCCGGGCUCAACCCUCGGAUGCCGGUGGAUACUGUCGGGCUUGAGUACGGAAGAGGCGAGUGGAAUUCCUGGUGUAGCGGUGAAAUGCGCAGAUAUCAGGAGGAACACCAAUUGCGAAGGCAGCUCGCUGGGACGUUACUGACGCUGAGACGCGAAAGCGUGGGGAGCAAACAGG
rnacentral:rRNA from 1 species